CGUCAGCGCCCGCUCGAUUUCGUCAUUCGCGCGCCUCUCUUCGGCGCCCCUACAUCCCGCCGAUCUGAGAUGACGAAGGAGGGAGGAAGGCGUGACCUGUUUGCUGCUGCUGCUACUUGAGGACUCCACAGAAAGGGCAACUAGAGAAGAAGAGAAGGUGAACAUAAGAGAAAUGCCUGAGCUCAUCAGAAUUUGUCAAGUUAAAACCAAAUUGAUGAGCUGCACCAGUAAAAUCUGCAUAUUAUAUAUCACUAGAUAUCACUUAGAAUCAUCGGAAGUUGUUUCUAUUUUGAUUGCUACAAAUUUAGAAUUGCUUUUUCGUUUAUAUAUAUGAAGGAUAAAUCUGUAUGUAUAGGUUGGUUCAGUAGCUGCCCAAGAGCAUGGACAAUGUGCUCCAACUGUGCUUUGGUCGAAAAACAUCUACUAAACCUUAAAUAAUUGUGAUUUUAGGCUAACAUUGUGGUUUCUGAAUUGAUUUUUGUAUUGAUGAGAUCUGAAUUAGCAUUACUUGGACGAGCUUAUAAGAUAGUACUUCUGGAAAUUAUGAUUCUUUUUCACCUGGUAUAUUUACUCAUGAACCAAGUUGUGCUAUGUGCCCCAUAGUUUUUGUUAGAAAUAUAAAUACAAAGAUAUAUGUUUCUCCUACAUAUGCUCUUAUAUAAAGUUAUAUAUUUCUAGCUAACUCAGCCAUUUAUUUAUAUUUCAGUAUCAGUUUUAAUAAUAUUAAUGAUUUGUUUAUCCUAUAUAGAACAAUAAUAUUUACAAGUAGUCCAUGGUCACACAUUUUGCAGAAGCUAGACCCACAACACGGUCUCCUCUAGGUAAUGGUGAUGCCAAGCUUUGGUUAUUCUGUUUUUCAAAGAGUUCAGUUCAUAUUUAGGAACUAUGGUAUAUUAAUUCUAACUUGGUUUCGAUUGUUUUGGACCGACUACCAUGGAGUUACUUGCAUUGUGUGUCUGCUGUUGUGGGUACUCCAAUUUGUUGUUGACAUAUGGCUAGCUACUGUUGUCUGCUGGUUAUAAUUGUGCAUCCAAAUUUUUGUAAAAGCGGUUUUAUCUUGGUUAAAACUUAAAGGGUCAGGGUCGAUGCCAAUCCUCUGGACAGACUCUAUGCACAAGCAGGGUAGGUGCACUCUGAGGGUACGCCGAGACCAGGGGAUCAUGUCAUAGAACCAUCAUGGCGCACACGGUUUGAUUCUCAUGGUGAUGCUUACAAUGUGAUGAUGCUGACCGCCCAUUGGUUAGGAUGAUACUUUCAGCUUCAUUUGCAUUUUUUACUUAGUUUCCCCUUUAAUUUUGGUACUCUUGCAGUACACUUGUCUUUUAAGCACUGUGUUAUGCAUUUUUUUUCAGUGGGAGAAAACAGUUGAACUUGUCAUUCCUGCUUUCUAACUUCAUUUGCGUGAGGAGAUAAAGUUACUAUAAGUUUGUGUAUUUGUGAAUCCUUGCACAGAACCUGCCGAGGAAGAGGAAAAUGCAAAGUUGGAGGAGAAGAACAAGGAUGCUGAUCAUGAUAAGGUGGGAUCAUGGUUUAGCAACCCAGGAGCUGGUGGCAGAGUUAGCAAGUAUCUUACAACUUGGACAGCUGGUUCUUCUGAUGCCACUGGAAAUGCCACUUCAGCAAAUGGUUCAAGCAAGAAGAGAAAAGGGAAGGUGUUGAUCAUAGUAUUUCAAUUCCCCUUAAAGCUCACAGAAUGUAGGUAGUUAAGGCCUCUCCGCGAUCUACUUUCAUUAGUCAGAACACAAGUGACAUGUUUCUGUGCGCCAUCAUGAUCUAUUUUGAGAUAUGGUACAUCAGUACUAGAUUCAACAUUUGGGAGGUAAUUUUCUCGCUUUCAUAGUUUUACCUUAUAUUUUGUAUAACCAGUUCUUCGAAAACUUGAAAAUAUGAUCUACUCAAGCUGAAAGCAUGUACAUAUAGCCUACUUUUGGCAGCUAUUUCUUUCCCGCUGAUUAUUGUCAGGAAGUAAUACAAUAUUUCUACUGUAUUUUUAGUGCUUGUGCCACUUUGGGUCAAAACUUAUUUUUAUUAGAAUUGUUUGCUUGCCACUGAAUUCAGUUUACUCAACAAAUUGUACAAGAAAGUGUUUCAUAAAUUUUACUUGGUAUGCUGCUCUCUUUUAGCAAUUACUUGAAUUUUAGUUAGAGGCCACAUAAACUGUCUUCAAUUUAAUUUUCAGUGUCAUUUGGUGUACUCAAACUGAAACACCUCCAGGACAGGUGCUUUUCAAUACUGUCAUGAACAUACUUUAUUCUCCGCAUAAGCACAUGAUAAAGUUCGUACUAUGUUUGGUGCCAUCGAUGGUUUGUGACAGAGGUUACGAAAUAUUGCAUGGCAAUACUUUCCACUAUUACUGGUUUUCAUCUGUCGCCUGCUAUUUUUCAUGGCUACAAAUUUAAUAACUUGUACCGCUACAAUGUAGGAGGUUGAUGUUUUCUAUGGAUAUGAAUGCUCGCGGUGCUGCUGAACCUGAAUCUUCUUAAAAAUAUGUUACCUUUGAACCUGUCAUAGAGCCAGACAAUAUUGCUCCUUUACUGUGCAUAUAUGAACUUGAUCAUUUACAUGGUGUGUUUGUUGUCUUUAAUCUUGAUCUGCAAUAAGCUACGGUUUCAUUGAAAUGUCUUGACAUGUCAAUUGUUUCUAGACAAGUGCUAUCAAUAUUUUCUGCAUUCAUGAAAAUUCUGGCAAUAUACUUUGGUCCAUAUAGGCUAAGUAUCCAUUUUUUUCUCAUUGCCUUCAUUUGUUCAUUUUGCUUCAGACUAUUGUGGCAGCAGGUACAAUACCGAUGCUUCAGACUAUUCUACAAAGUUAACUUUCAUCACCAUACACAGGCUGCUGGCCAACCUGGGUGGCGAUGAGCGGCGGAAGAAGGGGAGAAACACACUGUGAUGAAGGUGAGUGUCAAGCUUCUCCAUCUCCAUGUAAAUGGAUGACCUCCACGGCGAGAGAUGCGGUCAGGGGAUGAAUGUUUUAAGGAAAAUGACCCGGACUAUGGGUUCGUACCAUCCAUGCGCUAUAGUUAAAUCUGUACAUCCUAAGAAAUGUGCAGACCACAAUGAAAUUGGAGAAGUUUAAGGAGGAGGUCAAUUUAGUUAAUUGAGUUUUGUUUAUUUUUCUCAGUGUACACCAUUUAUUUUAGUUUCUUCUUGUCAUAAAUAUGUCUUUUGUGGUCGUCGAAGAAUAGUGAGGGACAAACAUUGCCAAUGCACUAUAUGUAUCUUUAUUAUUUAUGAAAUAAUUUUUUAAGGCA